rnacentral:rRNA from 1 species
GACGAACGCUGGCGGCGUGCCUAACACAUGCAAGUCGAACGGAAAGUUAGCAAUAACUUUUAGUGGCGAACGGGUGAGUAACGCGUGGGCAACCUGCCCUUCAGACGGGGACAACAUUCCGAAAGGAGUGCUAAUACCGGAUACGACCUUUAGACCGCAUGGUUUAAAGAAGAAAGGUGGCCUCUAUUUAUAAGCUACCGCUGAAGGAUGGGCCUGCGUCUGAUUAGCUAGUUGGUGGGGUAAAGGCCUACCAAGGCGACGGACAGUAGCCGGUCUGAGAGGAUGAACGGCCACACUGGGACUGAGACACGGCCCAGACUCCUACGGGAGGCAGCAGUGGGGAAUCUUCCACAAUGGACGAAAGUCUGAUGGAGCAACGCCGCGUGAGUGAUGAAGGUUUUCGGAUCGUAGAACUCUGUUGUAAGGGAAGAACACGUACGAGAGGGAAUGCUCGUACCUUGACGGUACCUUACGAGAAAGCCACGGCUAACUACGUGCCAGCAGCCGCCGUAA